GCACGUCGUGGGGAAGCUCGGCGUGCAGCCUGGGGAAG
rnacentral:SRP_RNA from 1 species